GACGAACGCUGGCGGCGUGCUUAACACAUGCAAGUCGAACGGAAAGGCCCUGCUUUUGUGGGGUGCUCGAGUGGCGAACGGGUGAGUGACACGUGAGUAACCUGCCCUUGACUUUGGGAUAACUUCAGGAAACUGGGGCUAAUACCGGAUAGGAGCUCCUGCUGCAUGGUGGGGGUUGGAAAGUUUCGGCGGUUGGGGAUGGACUCGCGGCUUAUCAGCUUGUUGGUGGGGUAGUGGCUUACCAAGGCUUUGACGGGUAGCCGGCCUGAGAGGGUGACCGGCCACAUUGGGACUGAGAUACGGCCCAGACUCCUACGGGAGGCAGCAGUGGGGAAUAUUGCACAAUGGGCGGAAGCCUGAUGCAGCAACGCCGCGUGCGGGAUGACGGCCUUCGGGUUGUAAACCGCUUUCGCCUGUGACGAAGCGUGAGUGACGGUAAUGGGUAAAGAAGCACCGGCUAACUACGUGCCAGCAGCCGCGGUGAUACGUAGGGUGCGAGCGUUGUCCGGAUUUAUUGGGCGUAAAGGGCUCGUAGGUGGUUGAUCGCGUCGGAAGUGUAAUCUUGGGGCUUAACCCUGAGCGUGCUUUCGAUACGGGUUGACUUGAGGAAGGUAGGGGAGAAUGGAAUUCCUGGUGGAGCGGUGGAAUGCGCAGAUAUCAGGAGGAACACCAGUGGCGAAGGCGGUUCUCUGGGCCUUUCCUGACGCUGAGGAGCGAAAGCGUGGGGAGCGAACAGGCUUAGAUACCCUGGUAGUCCACGCUGUAAACGGUGGGUACUAGGUGUGGGGUCCAUUCCACGGGUUCCGUGCCGUAGCUAACGCUUUAAGUACCCCGCCUGGGGAGUACGGCCGCAAGGCUAAAACCCAAAGGAAUUGACGGGGCCCCGCACAAGCGGCGGAGCAUGCGGAUUAAUUCGAUGCAACGCGUAGAACCUUACCUGGGUUUGACAUGGAUCGGGAGUGCUCAGAGAUGGGUGUGCCUCUUUUGGGGUCGGUUCACAGGUGGUGCAUGGCUGUCGUCAGCUCGUGUCGUGAGAUGUUGGGUUAAGUCCCGCAACGAGCGCAACCCUUGUUCACUGUUGCCAGCACGUUAUGGUGGGGACUCAGUGGAGACCGCCGGGGUCAACUCGGAGGAAGGUGGGGAUGACGUCAAGUCAUCAUGCCCCUUAUGUUCAGGGCUUCACGCAUGCUACAAUGGCUGGUACAGAGAGUGGCGAGCCUGUGAGGGUGAGCGAAUCUCGGAAAGCCGGUCUCAGUUCGGAUUGGGGUCUGCAACUCGACCUCAUGAAGUCGGAGUCGCUAGUAAUCGCAGAUCAGCAACGCUGCGGUGAAUACGUUCCCGGGGCU
rnacentral:rRNA from 1 species